GGUGUCACUGGUGGAUUGUGAGAGCUCACUAGAAUUAUUCUGGAUCAACAAUCCUUGAUGAGUUAGAGUGAAAUUAUUUCAAUCCAUUAGAAAAAAUUUCAAUGAUACUUUGAUAGAGAUCAUUGUAUAUCUCACUAUCGAUAGAAUUGAAUCUAUGAGGUCACACAACAAAAGGAUUAGAUCUGGAACAAGUAAUUAGACUUAUGAAGUGUCAAUUAGGUUUAGAGAAAUCC
rnacentral:lncRNA from 1 species